rnacentral:rRNA from 1 species
UACAGAGGGUGCAAGCGUUAUUCGGAAUUAUUGGGCAUAAAGCGCAUGUAGGUGGUUUGAUAAGUCUGAUGUGAAAUCCCCCGGACUCAAUUCGGGGAAGUGCAUUGGAUACUGCCGGACUAGAGUUCGGAAGAGGCGAGUGGAAUUCCCGGUGUAGCGGUGAAAUGCGCAGAUAGUCGGAGGAACACCUAUGGCGAAGGCAGCUCGCUGGGACGUUACUGACGCUGAGACGCGAAAGCGUGGGGAGCAAACAGG